UCAUCGGAGCAGUGGCUACCCAAUCCAUGCCGCCAUGAAGUACAGUGAGAAGAGUUGUGCUGAGGCUGUCCUGGAUGCAGACCCAGGUCAGCUACAGGUAGAAGAUGCUGUCUAUGGAGGAACCCCUACACUGGUGCAAGACUGCAGAGAUGUGUCGUACGCUGCUGGAACGAGGUUGCUUGGUAAACUACCUCAGUAAGACCGGG